rnacentral:rRNA from 1 species
GACGAACGCUGGCGGCGUGCCUAAUACAUGCAAGUAGGACGCAGUUGCGAACGGGUGAGUAACGCGUAGGUAACUGCCUCUUAGAGGGGGAUAACUAUUGGAAACGCUAGCUAAUACCGCAUACUAGUAGAUGGACCUGCGUUGUAUUAGGUAGUAGGUUGGGUAAUGGCCUACCUAGGCGAGGAUACAUAGCCGACCCUGAGGGGUGAUCGGGCACACUGGGAAUGGGACACGGCCCCGACUCCUACGGGAGGCAGGAGGAGGGAAUCUUCGGCAAUGGGGGGAACCCUGAACGAGCAACGCCGCCGGAUGGAAGAAGGGUUUCGGAUCGUAAAGCUCUGUUGUUAAGGAAGCGGUACUUAACCAGAAAGGGACGGCUAACUACGUGCCAGCAGCCGCGGUAAUUC